rnacentral:rRNA from 1 species
AUGGAAUAAUGAAAUAGGACGGAUUGAUUCUAUUUCGUUGGUUUCUAGGAUCACCGUAAUGAUUAAUAGGGAUAGUUGGGGGCAUUAGUAUUCAAUUGUCAGAGGUGAAAUUCUUGGAUUUAUUGAAGACUAACUACUGCGAAAGCAUUUGCCAAGGAUGUUUUCAUUAAUCAAGAACGAAAGUUAGGGGAUCGAAGACGAUCAGAUACCGUCGUAGUCUUAACCAUAAACUAUGCCGACUAGGGAUCGGACGAAGUUAAUUUUAUAAUGACGCGUUCGGCACCUUACG